UUUCAAAGGCUAAGCCAUGCACGUCUAAGUACAUUCUUUUCAUACAAGAGAAACCGCGAAUGGCUCAUUAAAUCAGUUACAGUUUCUUGGGGCCUGAUUCAUUUCACCAUGAAAUACACGGAUAACUGUGGUAAUUCUAGAGCUAAUACGUGCCCAAAAGGGGACUCUUCACAGAGUUCCUGCGUUUGUUAGCCUAAAAGCCACCAUACGUGCGUGUGUACGCAGGCAACUGCUGCACCGCCGUAUGAUCUUACCCUGGAAACAUAAACAACCACGCUGAUCCUAUUGCUUCAACGCAAAGGACGUACCCUUCAAGUGUCUGCCUUAUCAACUUUCGAAGGUAGGUUAUAUGCCUACCUUGGUGAUAACGGGUAACGGGGAAUCAGAGUUCGAUUCCGGAGAGGGAGCCUGAGAAACGGCUACCACAUCCAAGGAAGGCAGCAGGCACGCAAAUUACCCACUCCCGGAUAGGGGAGGUAGUGACGAAAAAUAACAAUGCGAGACUCUUAAGAGGCCUCGUAAUUGGAAUGAGAAAAAUUUAAAACCCUUGAACGAGGAUCAAUUGGAGGGCAAGUCUGGUGCCAGCAGCCGCGGUAAUUCCAGCUCCAAUAGCGUAUAUUAAAGUUGUUGCGUUUAAAACGCUCGUAGUUGAAGCUUGUAGUUGGGUAUGGUAUCUUAUUGUCCAGUGUCGUUGUGCGUGCAGCAAUGCUGUAGUUGGGUUGGGUGGGGCAGUGUGUCAGGCGAGUCAAAUCGUCUGGCGCCUGUCUCGCUUCUCACGGCUGCAGCACACUGUUGCCGUACACGCCUGGUCAAUUGCCACUACUUCCAACUACUUUUGCUUGCGACAGGCUGAUGCCUUUAACCGGGUGCAGUCGACGUUGUAAGCAGGUUACUUUGACAAAAUAAGAGUGCUCAAAGCGGGCAAACGCGAUUUCAAACUCGAUAUGCUCGAAUUUUUCCCAGCAUAGAAUAACGAAACAUGAUGUGAGACCAGGCUAUUGGCCUUGGCUAGUGCCUAACAACACUAGUCCAAGUCGUCAAUAGUCGAACGUUUCGUUGGCUUCGUUCCUCACAUAAUGAUCAAUAGGAACAGACGGGAGCAUUUGUACUGCGAGGCUAGAGGUGAAAUUCUUGGACCCUCGCAUGACAAACAACAGCGAAAGCAUUUGCUAAGGAUGUUUUCAUUAAUCAAGAACGAAAGUUAGAGGAUCGAAGGCGAUCAGAUACCGCCCUAGUUCUAACCAUAAACGAUGCCAUCCAGUAAUCGGCUUGGGUGCUACAAAAUUUCAAAAUAUUGACCCAGCCGGCGACUUCCGGGAAACCAAAGACUUUUGGUUACGGGGGAAGUAUGGUUGCAAAGCUGAAACUUAAAGGAAUUGACGGAAGGGCACCACCAGGAGUGGAGCUUGCGGCUUAAUUUGACUCAACCACGGGAAAAUUUACCAGGUCCGAACACUGUAAGGAUGGACAGAUUGAGAGCUCUUUCUUGAUUCAGUGGGUGGUGGUGCAUGGCCGUUCUUAGUUCGUGGAGUGAUUUGUCUGGUUGAUUCCGAUAACGAACGAGACUCUUACCAGGUGGUUGUCUUAGGGCGUAACCAAUCGUCCUUUCGAAGUGUGGUAUUAGUAUUCCAAACUAGUGUUUGCUGAGCCGUGGCCGUAACAAGUCGCGUGCUAACAGAAGCACUAGGCUAACCACCCCAUUUCAAGACUCCCACCGGAACAGGCGGCGAUUCAAGCCGUACGAGAAAGAGCAAUAACAGGUCUGUGAUGCCCUUAGAUGUUCUGGGCUGCACGCGUGCUACACUGAAGUGUACAACGAGUCACGGUAACGCUGCGGGCAGGAUGCGGUGCGGUGAAAGCAAGGCAUUCACGUGUCUUUGUCGUAGCUGUGUAUCCAGUUCUGUUUUUGCAGUAGCCAUCCUGAUGAGAAAUCAUCGGGUAACCAUUGUAAUACACUUCGUGAUAGGGAUAGGGCAUUGUAACUAUUGCCCUUGAACGAGGAAUUCCCAGUAAGCGUGAGUCAUUAGCUCGCGUUGAUUAAGUCCCUGCCCUUUGUACACACCGCCCGUCGCUACUACCGAUUGAAUGAUUUAGUGAGAGCUUUGGAGGGGCUGGCUGUGGUGCAUAGCGCAAGUGUGCCUAUGGCUGGCCGACGAAGAUGUUCAAACUAUAUCAUUAGAGGAAG
rnacentral:rRNA from 1 species